UACGGCUCUAUCACGUUGAAACACCAGUAUCCGUACGAUCACCAACGUUAAGCGACGUCGAGCCUGUUCAGAUGUGUGACCGCUUGGGAAUAGCAUGUGCUGUAA